rnacentral:rRNA from 1 species
GUCGGGAAUUUUGGGCAAUGGGCGAAAGCCUGACCCAGCAACGCCGCGUGAAGGAUGAAGUAUUUCGGUAUGUAAACUUCGUAAGAAUAGGAAGAAUAAAUGACGGUACUAUUUGUAAGGUCCGGCUAACUACGUGCCAGCAGCCGCGGUAAUACGUAGGGACCAAGCGUUGUUCGGAUUUACUGGGCGUAAAGGGCGCGUAGGCGGCGUGGUAAGUCAGCUGUGAAAUCUCCGAGCUUAACUCGGAAGGGUCAGCUGAUACUGCUGUGCUAGAAUACAGAAAGGGCAAUCGGAAUUCUUGGUGUAGCGGUGAAAUGCGUAGAUAUCAAGAGGAACACCUGAGGCGAAGGCGGGUUGCUAGGCUGAUACUGACGCUGAGGCGCGAAAGCUAGGGUAGCAAACGGGAUUAGAUACCCGUGUAGUCC